rnacentral:tRNA from 1 species
GCAGAUGUGGCCGAGUGGUUAAGGCGAUUGACUCGAAAUCAAUUCCUCUUUGAGGGCAGAGUUGAAACGAGCUUCACGAGAGCUUGAGCUUUAGCU